rnacentral:rRNA from 1 species
UACGUAGGGUGCAAGCGUUGUCCGGAAUUAUUGGGCGUAAAGGGUAGGUAGGUGGUCUCAUUUGUCUGGGGUGAAAGCCUUGAGCUUAACUCAAGAAGUGCCCCAGAAACGGUGAGACUAGAGUCCUGGAGAGGGUCGUGGAAUUCCCGGUGUAGCGGUGAAAUGCGUAGAUAUCUGGAGGAAUACCGGUGGCGAAGGCGGCAUCCUGGACCGGCAUUGACGCUGAGGAGCGAAAGCCAGGGGAGCAAACGGG